rnacentral:lncRNA from 1 species
UAUUGUGUCUUCCCCAAUUGCAAGGAGUUGGAAAAUCUUGAGCUUUGUUGGCUUUUUCCCAGUAGUCCAAUAGACCAAUACCAGCAUAGAACUGGGCCUCAGUAUUUUUGGUUAGCGCUUUUGCCGCUGAAUUGCUGCUGUUCAGUUAAGAAGUUUUAUUUUUUCCAAGAUGAAAAUUAGAGCUUCUCUUGCAUGGGUGUAUGUAAAACUUGUCAUCUAUUUUCCUUGCAUCAAAUCAUUGACCAAUAAUCAAUGGAAGCUGCAUCAUAAAAGAAGUUCCACUGUUCUUUGGAUGAUCUGUUACGAUGGAUUGGUCACUGGCCAGAGUCCAUUUACUUCCAUGUAGGCUUUGUGGCAUUUAUCUUGCAGGUUCUAAAAUAUUUGUUGUUUCUUAUGUUUGUGGUAUGCCAUUGUUGUUAUACCAAACUGCUGGUUCGUAGCAUAGGAACAUAUCACUGCUAAUAUGUGUAGGAACAUGUCAAAGGAGCAACACACAGGAUUCCAACUUUAAUGUUGAUGGCUCAAUUUUUGCCCCCAUGAUGUGCAUAUAUGGAUCACGAUGACUUACGCAUGAUGCCCUGCCCUUCUUGGCCCUCCCUGAUUGCAUGCAGUUUUCCCCACAUUCUUAGCGUAGUACCUUAAGACUUGCAACUGCACCACGGUGUGGUUAACUCCUUGUCACUCCCAACUUUUCACAACUGGAUUGGAAAUCUGACAGGCUUCCGACGCUUGUUUAGGUAAUGUAAACUUCCUCCUCUUCCUAGACCUUAAGCCUUUUACCUCUCUUAUUAUUGAGCUAACUAGUAGUAGAUGGUUAAGGUAAACGCCCUAGAGGGAACUCAUCGAGUGUCUGAUACUACAUUAAGGAUAAAAUCUUGGUCAUUAUUUCCAGGUUUAUUGGAAUAGAAUCAUACAGGGAAUGUGCGUGAAAAAAAAAGAAGAAAGCAGAAAUCCAAGGCAGUUGAUCUUAACCCUAAUAAAUGUUACAAACUUGUUUUCAUGCUCUAACCGUCUUUCAGAGUUACUCAGUUUGACGCCCUGAACCGUCUGUAUAUCCAAGGCAGCAUUUAGUUCAGGAAAAAGAAGUGGAGUAGGAAUAAUUAUUUUUGUUGGAAUAUUCUCUCACAGGUCAUGUCUGUUGGGAUUGUUAUGUCACAGGUUCUUCCUACUUUUUUGUACACUCUGAAAUAAAUUUCGAUUGAGGUUUUGGAGGAGAAUUAGUUUUAUGCUAGGAAUAGUUUAUUACAGAUGAUAUAGUUUUGUCUGGAAUAAGCAAAUUUGAUUGGCGUAGCUAUACAUGUUAUUCUAAAAGGCUGUUCUGUAUGCAUUAAAAACUCUUUUUUUUGCUGAAAAUG